UAAUCAUUAGUUUCUUAAUUAGAAGCUUGUAUGAACGGCUGGACGAGGGAAUUUCUGUCUCAUAUUAAUUUAUAUUAGAACUUUAUUUUUAAGUUAAAAAGCUUAAAUGAUUUUAAAAGACGAGAAGACCCUAUAGAGUUUUAUAUUAAUAUCUAUGAAGGCUAAUUCGAAUUAUUAUUACUUUAUAGGUGUUGAUAUUUUGUUGGGGUGACAGGGAAAUUUAAUAAACUUUUCUUUUAAUUUGACAUUGAUUUAUGAAUGAUUGAUCCAAUAGUUUUGAUUAUAAGAUUAAAUUACCUUAGGGAUAACAGCGUUAUUUUACUAGAGAGUUCAUAUCGAAAGUAAAGUUUGCGACCUCGAUGUUGGAUUAAAAUGCAUUAUUGGUGUAGAAGCUAAUAAAUUAAGUCUGUUCGACUUUUAAAAUUUU
rnacentral:rRNA from 1 species